rnacentral:tRNA from 1 species
GCCCCUGUAGUGUAGUCCGGCCAAUCACGCCGCCCUCUCACGGCGGCAACCCGGGUUCAAAUCCCGGCGGGGGCA